rnacentral:RNase_P_RNA from 1 species
GUAAGACAGACAGUCGCGUGAACAGGCCGAAAGGCCGUUUAUGAGGAAAGUCCGGGCUCCACAGGGCAAGGAUAACGGGUAACGCCCGCCGAAGGCGACUUCAGGAAAAGUGCAACAGAGAAAUACCGCCGACAGGAUGUCGGAACAAACAGUGGCUAGGCUGGUUGUACUGUGCGUUUUGUCGGUAAGGGUGGAAAGGCGAGGUAAGAGCUCACCCGAUGGCUCGAAAGUGUCCAUCGCUGUAAACUCUAUCCGGAGCAACACCGGUAUGGGAGCGGAGGCGCUUUCAAGGCAGACCGAAUAUCGGCGGAAACUUCCGCUGAAAUUGGCUGAUCUGCGGAGGAGGCACCUCAAGGCUUGCCCGGCCGCUCCCGGGGUGGCUUGAGCGUACCGGCAACGGUGCGUCGAGAUAGAUGACUGUCAAAUACAGAACCCGGCUUACAGUUUUGCUCG